GAUCCUGGCUCAGGAUGAACGCUAGCUACAGGCUUAGCACAUGCAAGUCGAGGGGCAGCAUGAUUGAAGCUUGCUUCAAUUGAUGGCGACCGGCGCACGGGUGAGUAACACGUGUCCAACCUGCCGAUAACUCGGGGAUAGCCUUUCGAAAGAAAGAUUAAUACCCGAUAGUAUAGUAUUUCCGCAUGGUUUCACUAUUAAAGAAUUUCGGUUAUCGAUGGGGAUGCGUUCCAUUAGA
rnacentral:rRNA from 1 species